rnacentral:rRNA from 1 species
GUCUAUGGCCAUACAACCUUGAACACGCCCGCUCUUGUCUGAUCUCGGAACCUAAGCAGGGUCGGGCCUGGUUAGUAUUUGGAUGGAAACCCUGGUGGAGUAAUGGUUA